rnacentral:rRNA from 1 species
CAAUAGCGUAUAUUAAAGUUGUUGCAGUUAAAAAGCUCGUAGUUGGAUUUCGGUUAAGAGCGACCGGUCCGCCGUUUGGUGUGCACUGGUUGGUUUUAACUUCCUGUAGAGGACGUGCUCUGGGUUUAACGACCUGGACUCGGAGUCUACGUGGUUACUUUGAAAAAAUUAGAGUGUUCAAAGCGGGCUUACGCUUGAAUAUUUCAGCAUGGAAUAACACUAUAGGACUCCUGUCCUAUUUCGUUGGUCUCGGGACGGGAGUAAUGAUUAAGAGGAACAGUUGGGGGCAUUCGUAUUUCAUUGUCAGAGGUGAAAUUCUUGGAUUUAUGAAAGACGAACUUCUGCGAAAGCAUUUGCCAAGGAUGUUUNCAUUA